GUGAAAAUAACUCAACGGUAGAGUGUAAUUUUGCCAAAAUUAAAGUUGAGGGUUCAAAUCCCUUUUUUCACU
rnacentral:tRNA from 1 species